UUGCAGGUCUUCCAGCGUGUCCGGGCUGACUGUAGCUCUGGUCUCUCCUGUAGACUCUGCUAGAUCAUCCCUGGGGUGGUUUGAGGCCUCUUCCUGUAUCUCUGGGAGGAGGUUAUAGAAACCCCAGACACUU